rnacentral:rRNA from 1 species
UAAGGAAUAUUGGUCAAUGGACGCAAGUCUGAACCAGCCAUGCCGCGUGAAGGAUGAAGGUCCUCUGGAUUGUAAACUUCUUUUAUCUGGGACGAAAACGGGAUUUUUAUCUCAAUUGACGGUACCAGAGGAAUAAGCACCGGCUAACUCCGUGCCAGCAGCCGCGGUAAUACGGAGGGUGCGAGCGUUAUCCGGAUUUACUGGGUUUAAAGGGUGCGUAGGUGGGCUAAUAAGUCAGUGGUGAAAGCCUGCAGCUUAACUGCAGAAUUGCCAUUGAUACUGUUAGUCUUGAGUACAGUUGAGGUAGGCGGAAUGUGUCAUGUAGCGGUGAAAUGCUUAGAUAUGACACAGAACACCGAUUGCGAAGGCAGCUUGCUAAGCUGUAACUGACGCUGAGGCACGAAAGCGUGGGGAGCAAA